AUGCCGCUUGUCAGCCUGCUGUGGGCAGUCGUGGUGUCCACCUGUCUUGGAUCCAGCACAGCCCAGACGGUCACUCAGACUCAACCAGAUAUGCAUGUGCGGGAGACAGAGACUGUGACCCUGCACUGCACGUAUGACACCAGCGACAGUAAUUAUUAUUUGUUCUGGUACAAACAGCCUCCCAGCGGGGAGAUGAUUCUCAUUAUUCGCCAAGAAGCUUAUAAGCAAGAGAAUGCAACAAAGGAUCGCUUCUCUGUGAACUUCCAGAAACCAAAAAAAUCCUUCAGUCUCAGGAUCUCAGACUCCCAGCUGGAGGAUGCUGCAAUGUAUUUCUGUGCUCUCAUUGAAGGCACAGUGACAUGA